CCUACGUGCGGCUGCAGUGAGGAAUAUUGGUCAAUGGGCGCGAGCCUGAACCAGCCAAGUAGCGUGAAGGAUGACUGCCCUACGGGUUGUAAACUUCUUUUAUAAAGGAAUAAAGUGAGGCAAGUGUGCCUUUUUGUAUGUACUUUAUGAAUAAGGAUCGGCUAAAUCCGUGCCAGCAGCCGCGGUAACACUGAGGAUCCAAGCGUUAUCCGGAUUUAUUGGGGUUAAAGGGAGCGUAGAUGGGUUGUUAAGUCAGUUGUGAAAGUUUGCGGCUCAACCGUAAAAUUGCAAUUGAUACUGGCAGUCUUGAGUACAGUUGAGGAAGGCGGAAUUCGUGGUGUAGCGGUGAAAUGCUUAGAUAUCACGAAGAACUCCGAUUGCGAAGGCAGCUUACUAAUCUGCCACUGACAUUGAUGCUCGAAAGUGUGGGUAUCAAACAGGAUUAGAUACCCCUGUAGUC
rnacentral:rRNA from 1 species